rnacentral:tRNA from 2 species
GGCUCGUUGGUCUAGGGGUAUGAUUCUCGCUUUGGGUGUGAGAGGUCCCGAGUUCAAAUCCCAGACGAGCCC